UACGAAGGGUGCAAGCGUUACUCGGAAUUACUGGGCGUAAAGCGUGCGUAGGUGGUUUGUUAAGUCUGUUGUGAAAGCCCCGGGCUCAACCUGGGAAUGGCAAUGGAUACUGGCAGGCUAGAGUGCGGUAGAGGGUAGUGGAAUUCCCGGUGUAGCGGUGAAAUGCGCAGAUAUCAGGAGGAACACCUGUGGCGAAAGCGGCUCACUGGACCACAACUGACGCUGAGGCGCGAAAGCUGGGGGGAGCAAACAGG
rnacentral:rRNA from 1 species